AAGUCGGACGGCAGCGGGGGGGUAACUCCNUGCGAGAGUGGCGAACGGGUGAGUAAGACGUGGGUGAUCUGUCCCGGUCACGGGGAUAGCCUGUGGAAACAUGGGGUAAUACCGGAUAAGCUCUGCGGGGUAAAGGCCGCGGAGGAAAGGCGCGUAUGCGCCGGAGAGGGAUGAGCCUGCGGUCCAUUAGCUUGUUGGCAGGGUAAGAGCCUACCAAGGCGACGAUGGAUAGCCGGCCUGAGAGGGUGAACGGCCACACUGGGACUGAGAUACGGCCCAGACUCCUACGGGAGGCAGCAGCUAAGAAUCUUCCGCAAUGGGCGAAAGCCUGACGGAGCGACGCCGCGUGGACGAAGAAGGCCGAAAGGUUGUAAAGUUCUUUUCUUUGCGAAGAAUAAGGGGAGGAGGGAAUGCCUUUCUGAUGACGUUAGCGAAGGAAUAAGCCCCGGCUAAUUACGUGCCAGCAGCCGCGGUAAUACGUAAGGGGCGAGCGUUGUUCGGAAUUAUUGGGUGUAAAGGGCGCGCAGGCGGCUCUGAAAGUCCGGUGUGAAAGGCCGCAGCUUAACUGCGGUUGUGCGCUGGAAACUACAGGGCUUGAGUGCAGGAGGGGGAGCUGGAAUUCCAGGUGUAGGGGUGAAAUCUGUAGAUAUCUGGAAGAACACCGGUGCGAAGGCGAGC
rnacentral:rRNA from 1 species